rnacentral:lncRNA from 1 species
UAUUUAAUACAACAUAUUACAUAAUAACUUUUUACAAUUGACCUUUAUUUAUUUAUUUAUUUAUUAUUUGACAGAGAAAGUGAGGAGGAGCAGAGAAGGAGAGAGAACGAGACUCCCGCUGAGCAGGGAGCCUGAUGCGACACUUAAUCCAAGGACCCUGGAAUCAUGACCUGAGCCAAAGGCAUAUGCUUAACCAUCUGAGACACUCAGCAACAAAUCAAAAGGACUUCAUGUGAAAUUAUUGACUACUCUAUGCCUCUCAGCCUCAAAUAACCCCUAAUUCUAUGCACCUGGGAGCCAAAGCAAAUCAUAAGGAGCCAUGCACACUGCUCUGAUGAAGCAUCUCUGGAAUGAAGUCUCACAUGGUGAGUGCCAGACUGACUGGCAGUCUCUUAGAACUGAGAGGAAAUAAGGUAAUUUUUAAGAGUUU